CCUACGGGAGGCAGCAGUGGGGAAUAUUGCACAAUGGGGGAAACCCUGAUGCAGCGAUGCCGCGUGGAGGAAGAAGGUUUUCGGAUUGUAAACUCCUGUCUUAAAGGACGAUAAUGACGGUACUUUAGGAGGAAGCUCCGGCUAACUACGUGCCAGCAGCCGCGGUAAUACGUAGGGAGCGAGCGUUGUCCGGAAUUACUGGGUGUAAAGGGAGCGUAGGCGGGAGUGCAAGUCAGGUGUGAAAACUAUGGGCUCAACCCGAUAGACUGCACUUGAAACUGCAUUUCUUGAGUGAAGUAGAGGUGAGCGGAAUUCCUGGUGUAGCGGUGAAAUGCGUAGAUAUCAGGAGGAACACCGGUGGCGAAGGCGGCUUACUGGGCUUUUACUGACGCUGAGGCUCGAAAGCGUGGGGAGGCAAACAGGAUUAGAUACCCUGGUAGUCCACGCUGUAAACGAUGAUUACUAGGUGUGGGGGGACUGACCCCUUCCGUGCCGCAGUUAACACAAUAAGUAAUCCACCUGGGGAGUACGGCCGCAAGGUUGAAACUCAAAUGAAUUGACGG
rnacentral:rRNA from 1 species